rnacentral:rRNA from 1 species
UGGGACAAGCCCUGGAAACGGGGUCUAAUACCGGAUACGACCUGCCGAGGCAUCUCGGCGGGUGGAAAGCUCCGGCGGUGAAGGAUGAGCCCGCGGCCUAUCAGCUUGUUGGUGAGGUAACGGCUCACCAAGGCGACGACGGGUAGCCGGCCUGAGAGGGCGACCGGCCACACUGGGACUGAGACACGGCCCAGACUCCUACGGGAGGCAGCAGUGGGGAAUAUUGCACAAUGGGCGAAAGCCUGAUGCAGCGACGCCGCGUGAGGGAUGACGGCCUUCGGGUUGUAAACCUCUUUCAGCAGGGAAGAAGCGAAAGUGACGGUACCUGCAGAAGAAGCGCCGGCUAACUACGUGCCAGCAGCCGCGGUAAUACGUAGGGCGCAAGCGUUGUCCGGAAUUAUUGGGCGUAAAGAGCUCGUAGGCGGCUUGUCACGUCGGGUGUGAAAGCCCGGGGCUUAACCCCGGGUCUGCAUCCGAUACGGGCAGGCUAGAGUGUGGUAGGGGAGAUCGGAAUUCCUGGUGUAGCGGUGAAAUGCGCAGAUAUCAGGAGGAACACCGGUGGCGAAGGCGGAUCUCUGGGCCAUUACUGACGCUGAGGAGCGAAAGCGUGGGGAGCGAACAGGAUUAGAUACCCUGGUAGUCCACGCCGUAAACGUUGGGAACUAGGUGUUGGCGACAUUCCACGUCGUCGGUGCCGCAGCUAACGCAUUAAGUUCCCCGCCUGGGGAGUACGGCCGCAAGGCUAAAACUC